rnacentral:rRNA from 1 species
AUUGAACGCUGGCGGCAGGCCUAACACAUGCAAGUCGAACGAGUGGCGGACGGGUGAGUAAUGUCUGGGAAACUGCCUGAUGGAGGGGGAUACCUACUGGAAACGUUAGCUAAUACCGCAUACCAUCGGAUGUGCCCAGAUGGGAUUGGCUAGGAGGUGGGGUAAAGGCUCACCUGGGCGACGAUCCCUAGCUGGUCUGAGAGGAGGACCAGCCACACUGGAACGGAGACACGGUCCAGACUCCGACGGUGGGCAGCAGAGGGGAAGAUUGCACAAUGGGCGCAAGCCUGAUGCAGCCAGGCCGCGGGUAUGAAGAAGGCCUUCGGGUUGUAAAGUACUUUCAGCGGGGAGGCGUUACCCGCAGAGGAAGCACCGGCUAACUCCGUGCCAGCAGCCGCGGUAAUUC